rnacentral:lncRNA from 1 species
ACUCGUACGUUUCUUCGGUUGAGAGGUUGGACCAAAUGGGGGGUCCAUCGCACAACACCUCGGCGAUUUGAUCUCGAGUGACCGCAAGUUGCAAUUGCUCCCAAUUGAAUGGCGUCGUGUGUCGGAGGUGAUAAAAAGAGUUGAUUGCGUAGGCACACCAAUCGACCUUCUUUCCUCGAACCGUGCUCGAGUUCCGAUCCGUUGUGAGGAGGAUA